rfam:Pseudomonas sp. 5 contig2, whole genome shotgun sequence.
GGCGCGACCCUUGCUAAAGCCUGAACAUCCGGCAAUCAACGCAGAUUGCCCCGUUCACGACAAAGGCGCCGU